rnacentral:lncRNA from 1 species
UGGUCAGAUUGGUCGAGCCAUACUUGGGUCUGGACAUUCGUUUGCUGGAUGCACUUGAUGUGGUCAUGUUAAUGGUUGGACCUAAUCAGAUUUUUCAGUGGAGUUGCCACACGUCUGUUGAAGAGAUAUCUGGGGCAAAAUCUAAUUGUUAAAAAUUAUUUGAAAAAAUAAUUGAUAAGAAAUCUAUCCAUGGAUGUACUAGGAUUGG